UACGUGACUAGGGGGUCACGCGCAGGGUCGUGGGGGACCGCCUGGGAUUCCCGGACGGCUGCGAGGAGGGAGCGGCGAAGUGCCGAGCCGUUUCUGGCUGCUUUCCUCCCUCCACCGCCUGCUCGUUUCGCCGCGCGCGGGCCGGACAGUGAGGCUGCAGCGGCGAAAGCGACUAAAGUCUGGGAGCAGCCGCGUGAGCUUCCCGGUCCCUGGGAGGCCCCGGGAACAGACACCUCACCCUGACAUUGUGGCAGGGCAGGAAAACAUGUGAGAAUGGAGGCUCCCCUCUCCCUUGCAGGUAACAAAGUAUCGGGGUAUUCUCUGUGAAAUGCUACUGAAUGCAAACUGAUGCUGCUGGCAUUCCUCUGGGAGUUUUACUGGUGCCGCUCAAGAACUACUCCCUCCAAGAUGUUUUCCUGGAUUUCCUCAGCCUAAAAUAAUCCCUCUUUUUCCUGGGAGUGUUGGGCAGUGCUCAGAAGAGGUUUUUGGGGUCAGAGAUGUAAGGACGUCUCCGACUGGCUUCUCCCAACAGAACCAGAUUCCAGCUGCGGAGCAAGGGGUAAGCUUGUACACACAACCCAAGCCAUGGCUUUUGUCUAGCCCCUUACCACCAGACAGGCCUUCUCACCAGUUCCUUUAGGGGGAGAAUAUAUCGAAAUUUUUAUCAUGUCAGUAACCCAAGAAAAAUAUUUAUCUGCGUAUGUAAGUUCUCAAACUUUCAUUGGUGAUGUGACCUGCUUUUUAAAGAAACAUUUUUAAAGACAUAGUUUGGUCUUUUGCAAUAAGCAAAGUGGGGUCCCUGUCAGCUCAGUAAGUAGAUGCUCUGAAAGGCAGAGCUUUCAACUGGUUAUAGGGAAAAAUAGCUAAAAGAGGUCUUCCCUCGUUUGUGAAGAGUGUCAAGCCAAAGUUGUUCCCGCCCUUUUGUUUUCAAGGUUUAAA